GAUGAACGCUGGCGGCGUGCCUAACACAUGCAAGUCGAGCGGACAGAGGGAGCUUUUGCCUGGAUUCCGCGGCGGGCGGGUGAGUAAUGCACAGGAGUAUGCCUGGCAGUGGGGGAUGACGUCCGGAAGCGGGCGCGGAUACCACAUACGUCCAGAUGGUGAAAGUGGGGGAUCUUUGGACAUCGCGGGAUCUGAUGAGCCUAGGCGGGAUUAGCUAGUUGGUUGGGUAAGGGCCUACCAAGGCGGCGAUCCGUGGCUGGUCUGAGAGGAUGAUCGGCCACACUGGAACUGAGACACGGUCCAGACUCCUACGGGAGGCAGCAGUGGGGAAUCUUCGGCAAUGGGCGAAAGCCUGACCCAGCCACGCCGCGUGUGUGAAGAAGGUCUUCGGAUCGUAAAGCACUUUUAGUUGGGAGGAACGGCUGUAAGUUUAUACCUUGCUGUUUUGACGGUACCGACUGAAUAAGCACCGGCUAACUACGUG
rnacentral:rRNA from 1 species